AGGAUAUUAGUUUAAACAAAACAUUUAAAUUGCAAUUAAAAAAUUUUUAUUAAAAUAUCUUU
rnacentral:tRNA from 1 species